rnacentral:rRNA from 1 species
GAUGAACGCUGACAGAAUGCUUAACACAUGCAAGUCAACUUGAAUUUGGGUUUUUAACUUAGGUUUGGGUGGCGGACGGGUGAGUAACGCGUAAAGAACUUGCCUCACAGCUAGGGACAACAUUUGGAAACGAAUGCUAAUACCUAAUAUUAUGAUAAUAGGGCAUCCUAUAAUUAUGAAAGCUAUAAGCGCUGUGAGAGAGCUUUGCGUCCCAUUAGCUAGUUGGAGAGGUAACGGCUCACCAAGGUGAUGAUGGGUAGCCGGCCUGAGAGGGUGAUCGGCCACAAGGGGACUGAGGCACGGCCCUUACUCCUACGGGAGGCAGCAGUGGGGAAUAUUGGACAAUGGACCGAGAGUCUGAUCCAGCAAUUCUGUGUGCACGAUGAAGUUUUUCGGAAUGUAAAGUGCUUUCAGUUGGGAAGAAACAAAUGACGGUACCAACAGAAGAAGUGACGGCUAAAUACGUG